CAAAUGGCCUUCUUCAAUGCCACACCUUACUUCCUAAAACUAUUAAU
rfam:Callithrix jacchus chromosome 11, whole genome shotgun sequence